AGAGCGAACGCUGGCGGCAGGCCUAAUACAUGCAAGUCGAGCGGUCCCUUCGGGGGCAGCGGCGGACGGGUGAGUAACGCGUGGGAACGUGCCCUUUGGUACGGAACAACUGAGGGAAACUUCAGCUAAUACCGUAUGUGCCCUUCGGGGGGAAAGAUUUAUCGCCAUUGGAGCGGCCCGCGUUGGAUUAGGUAGUUGGUGAGGUAAAGGCUCACCAAGCCUACGAUCCAUAGCUGGUCUGAGAGGAUGAUCAGCCACACUGGGACUGAGACACGGCCCAGACUCCUACGGGAGGCAGCAGUAGGAAUCUUGCGCAAGUGGGACGAAAGCCUGACGCAGCCAUGCCGCGUGAAUGAAUGAAGGUCUUAGGAUUAGUAAAAUUCUUUCACGGGACGAUAAUGACGGUACCGAGAAGAACGCCCGACUAACUCGUGCCAGCAGCCGC
rnacentral:rRNA from 1 species